GACGAACGCUGGCGGCGUGCUUAACACAUGCAAGUCGAACGGAAAGGCCCUGCUUUUGUGGGGUGCUCGAGUGGCGAACGGGUGAGUAACACGUGAGUAACCUGCCCUUGACUUUGGGAUAACUUCAGGAAACUGGGGCUAAUACCGGAUAGGAGCUCCUGCUGCAUGGUGGGGGUUGGAAAGUUUCGGCGGUUGGGGAUGGACUCGCGGCUUAUCAGCUUGUUGGUGGGGUAGUGGCUUACCAAGGCUUUGACGGGUAGCCGGCCUGAGAGGGUGACCGGCCACAUUGGGACUGAGAUACGGCCCAGACUCCUACGGGAGGCAGCAGUGGGGAAUAUUGCACAAUGGGCGGAAGCCUGAUGCAGCAACGCCGCGUGCGGGAUGACGGCCUUCGGGUUGUAAACCGCUUUCGCCUGUGACGAAGCGUGAGUGACGGUAAUGGGUAAAGAAGCACCGGCUAACUACGUGCCAGCAGCCGCGGUGAUACGUAGGGUGCGAGCGUUGUCCGGAUUUAUUGGGCGUAAAGGGCUCGUAGGUGGUUGAUCGCGUCGGAAGUGUAAUCUUGGGGCUUAACCCUGAGCGUGCUUUCGAUACGGGUUGACUUGAGGAAGGUAGGGGAGAAUGGAAUUCCUGGUGGAGCGGUGGAAUGCGCAGAUAUCAGGAGGAACACCAGUGGCGAAGGCGGUUCUCUGGGCCUUUCCUGACGCUGAGGAGCGAAAGCGUGGGGAGCGAACAGGCUUAGAUACCCUGGUAGUCCACGCUGUAAACGGUGGGUACUAGGUGUGGGGUCCAUUCCACGGGUUCCGUGCCGUAGCUAACGCUUUAAGUACCCCGCCUGGGGAGUACGGCCGCAAGGCUAAAACUCAAAGGAAUUGGCGGGGCCCCGCACAAGCGGCGGAGCAUGCGGAUUAAUUCGAUGCAACGCGUAGAACCUUACCUGGGUUUGACAUGGAUCGGGAGUGCUCAGAGAUGGGUGUGCCUCUUUUGGGGUCGGUUCACAGGUGGUGCAUGCCUGUCGUCAGCUCGUGUCGUGGGAUGUUGGGUUAAGUCCCGCAACGAGCGCAACCCUUGUUCACUGUUGCCAGCACGUUAUGGUGGGGACUCAGUGGAGACCGCCGGGGUCAACUCGGAGGAAGGUGGGGAUGACGUCAAGUCCUCAUGCCCCUUAUGUCCAGGGCUUCACGCAUGCUACAAUGGCUGGUACAGAGAGUGGCGAGCCUGUGAGGGUGAGCGAAUCUCGGAAAGCCGGUCUCAGUUCGGAUUGGGGUCUGCAACUCGACCUCAUGAAGUCGGAGUCGCUAGUAAUCGCAGAUCAGCAACGCUGCGGUGAAUACGUUCCCGGG
rnacentral:rRNA from 1 species